rnacentral:rRNA from 1 species
AACGAACGCUGGCGGCAGGCUUAACACAUGCAAGUCGAGCGCCCCGCAAGGGGAGCGGCAGACGGGUGAGUAACGCGUGGGAAUCUACCCAUCUCUACGGAAUAACGCAUGGAAACGUGUGCUAAUACCGUAUACGUCCUUAGAGAGCAAGAUUUAUCGGAGAUGGAUGAGCCCGCGUUGGAUUAGCUAGUUGGUGGGGUAACGGCCUACCAAGGCGACGAUCCAUAGCUGGUCUGAGAGGAUGAUCAGCCACACUGGGAAUGAGACACGGCCCAGACUCUUACGGAAGGCAGCAGUGGGGAAUAUUGGACAAUGGGCGCAAGCCUGAUCCAGCCAUGCCGCGUGAGUGAUGAAGUCCCUAGGGUUGUAAAGCUCUUUCACCGGUGAGGAUAAUGACGGUAACCGGAGAAGAAGCCCCGGCUAACUUCGUGCCAGCCGCCGCAGUAAUAC